GAUGAACGCUGGCGGCGUGCCUAAUACAUGCAAGUCGAGCGAACAGACGAGGAGCUUGCUCCUCUGACGUUAGCGGCGGACGGGUGAGUAACACGUGGAUAACCUACCUAUAAGACCGGGAUAACUUCGGGAAACCGGAGCUAAUACCGGAUAAUAUAUUGAACCGCAUGGUUCAAUAGUGAAAGACGGUUUUGCUGUCACUUAUAGAUGGAUCCGCGCCGCAUUAGCUAGUUGGUAAGGUAACGGCUUACCAAGGCAACGAUGCGUAGCCGACCUGAGAGGGUGAUCGGCCACACUGGAACUGAGACACGGUCCAGACUCCUACGGGAGGCAGCAGUAGGGAAUCUUCCGCAAUGGGCGAAAGCUUGACGGAGCAACGCCGCGUGAGUGAUGAAGGUCUUCGGAUCGUAAAACUCUGUUAUUAGGGAAGAACAAAUGUGUAAGUAGCUAUGCACGUCUUGACGGUACCUAAUCAGAAAGCCACGGCUAACUACGUG
rnacentral:rRNA from 1 species